UUAUGUCUUGGGCUUCACGCAUGCUACAAUGGCCGGUACAAAGGGCUGCGAUACCGUAAGGUGGAGCGAAUCCCAAAAAGCCGGUCUCAGUUCGGAUUGAGGUCUGCAACUCGACCUCAUGAAGUCGGAGUCGCUAGUAAUCGCAGAUCAGCAACGCUGCGGUGAAUACGUUCCCGGGCCUUGUACACACCGCCCGUCAAGUCAUGAAAGUCGGUAACACCCGAAGCCAGUGGCCUAACCGCAAGGAGGGAGCUGUCGAAGGUGGGAUCGGUGAUUAGGACUAAGUCGUAACAAGGUAGCCGUACCGGAAGGUGCGGCUGGAUCACCUCCUUUCUAAGGAG
rnacentral:rRNA from 1 species